rnacentral:misc_RNA from 1 species
GAUGAAGAACGCAGCGAAAUGCGAUAAGUAAUGUGAAUUGCAGAAUUCAGUGAAUCAUCGAAUCUUUGAACGCACAUUGCGCCCGCCAGUAUUCUGGCGGGCAUGCCUGUUCGAGCGUCAUUUCAACCAUCAAGCCCCCGUCUUGUGUUGGGAACCUGCGGCUGCCGCAGGCCCUGAAAACCAGUGGCGGGCUCGCUAGUCACUCCGAGCGUAGUAAUACAUCUCGCUCAGGGCGUGCUGCGGGUUCCGGCCGUUAAAAAGCCUUAUUUACCCAAGGUUGACCUCGGAUCAGGUAGGAAGACCCGCUGAACUUAAGCAUAUCAAUAAGCGGAGGA